rnacentral:rRNA from 4 species
UAAGCCUGCGAAGGUGGCCUGUGAGGGUUGCUGGAGGUAUCAGAAGUGCGAAUGCUGACAUAAGUAACGAUAAAGCGGGUGAAAAGCCCGCUCGCCGGAAGACCAAGGGUUCCUGUCCAACGUUAAUCGGGGCAGGGUGAGUCGACCCCUAAGGCGAGGCCGAAAGGCGUAGUCGAUGGGAAACGGGUUAAUAUUCCCGUACUUGGUGUUACUGCGAAGGGGGGACGGAGAAGGCUAUGUUGGCCGGGCGACGGUUGUCCCGGUUUAAGCGUGUAGGUGUGUGUUCCAGGUAAAUCCGGUUCACUUUAACACUGAGGCGUGACGACGAGGCACUACGGUGCUGAAGCAACAAAUGCCCUGCUUCCAGGAAAAGCCUCUAAGCAUCAGGUAACAUCAAAUCGUACCCCAAACCGACACAGGUGGUCAGGUAGAGAAUACCAAGGCGCUUGAGAGAACUCGGGUGAAGGAACUAGGCAAAAUGGUGCCGUAACUUCGGGAGAAGGCACGCUGACACGUAGGUGAAGUGAUUUACUCAUGGAGCUGAAGUCAGUCGAAGAUACCAGCUGGCUGCAACUGUUUAUUAAAAACACAGCACUGUGCAAACACGAAAGUGGACGUAUACGGUGUGACGCCUGCCCGGUGCCGGAAGGUUAAUUGAUGGGGUCAGCGCAAGCGAAGCUCCUGAUCGAAGCCCCGGUAAACGGCGGCCGUAACUAUAACGGUCCUAAGGUAGCGAAAUUCCUUGUCGGGUAAGUUCCGACCUGCACGAAUGGCGUAAUGAUGGCCAGGCUGUCUCCACCCGAGACUCAGUGAAAUUGAACUCGCUGUGAAGAUGCAGUGUACCCGCGGCAAGACGGAAAGACCCCGUGAACCUUUACUAUAGCUUGACACUGAACAUUGAGCCUUGAUGUGUAG